CCUGGUCUACACCUCGGGUGUGAGCUCAUCCUGCUCCUUCCUCUUUUCUGCCCUUGUCCCAGCUUUGUGCAGCACCUGGUGAGACAGGAAAUGGCUUUGGUGAAGGUGCAAAGCACGGGAUAAGGAAAUUUGACUGCACUACCCAAGAGUUACCCAGUGUCGGCAGCAGGUCUCACAUUUCCUUUUGCAGAGAGGGUUCCUGCAGCCGCCUUCCACCCUUAUGCCCUGGCACCAGCCAGUCUCUGAUACUUUAACAAAACCCAUUUUCCUUGCUUUAAGUGAAUCCAUGCUUUCUAACAAGUGGGACUAAGCAACCUGUGACCUUUGGCCAGUCACUCUGGGAGGCUGUGGUUUGGUGAUGUGCUGCAUCCUGUUUCAGGGGUUCCAGUACCAGAAUAUGGGUGCUGCGGUCGCACACCACUCAGCACCGACCCAGCCUCCCCGCCACUGCACCUCUCUCUGCCCUCAGCGGGUGUCCUAACACCACAGGUGUCCCAGGGGACUGAGCUCAAACAUGAUUUCCUUCUCCCCAGCAAUUGGUGCAGUUGUACAAACUGCCCCUGUUCUGGCCUUAAUGGGAAAGCACCUGCGGUUGCUCAGCUAGAAAAGCCCAAAUUAGUAAAGUACACUUGGGAAAUACCUUAAGGGCAAAAGGCAGAAUGGGGUGCCCAGGCCCUGUUCGAAAGCCUGAGAUGACAGAGAACAGUGAUAUUUUAUUAAUAAGCCACUAAUGACAGUCUCUUUGGCGUUUCCUUAAAAUUUAAUAUGUUGGCUUUGCCUUGCCUUCUGCUCAUGGAG